GAUGAACGCUGGCGGCGUGCCUAAUACAUGCAAGUCGAGCGAACAGACCAGGAGCUUGCUCCUCUGACGUUAGCGGCGGACGGGUGAGUAACACGUGGAUAACCUACCUAUAAGACUGGGAUAACUUCCGGAAACCGGAGCUAAUACCGCAUAAUAUAUUGAACCGCAUGGUUCAAUAGUGAAAGACGGUUUUGCUUUCUCUUAUAGAUGGAUCCGCGCCGCAUUAGCUAGUUGGUAAGGUAACGGCUUACCAAGGCAACGAUGCGUAGCCGACCUGAGAGGGUGAUCGGCCACACUGGAACUGAGACACGGUCCAGACUCCUACGGGAGGCAGCAGUAGGGAAUCUUCCGCAAUGGACGAAAGCCUGACGGAGCAACGCCGCGUGAGUGAUGAAGGUCUUCGGAUCGUAAAACUCUGUUAUUAGGGAAGAACAAAUGUGUAAGUAACUAUGCACGUCUUGACGGUACCUAAUCAGAAAGCCACGGCUAACUACGUG
rnacentral:rRNA from 1 species